rnacentral:rRNA from 1 species
CCUACGUGGGGCAGCAGUGGGGAAUAUUGCACAAUGGGGGAAACCCUGAUGCAGCGACGCCGCGUGAGUGAAGAAGUAAUUCGUUAUGUAAAGCUCUAUCAGCAGGGAAGAAAAUGACGGUACCUGAGUAAGAAGCCCCGGCUAACUACGUGCCAGCAGCCGCGGUAAUACGUAGGGGGCAAGCGUUAUCCGGAUUUACUGGGUGUAAAGUGAGCGUAGACGGCAGGGCAAGUCUGGAGUGAAAGGCGGGGGCUCAACCCCCGGACUGCUCUGGAAACUGUACGGCUGGAGUGCAGGAGAGGUAAGUGGAAUUCCUAGUGUAGCGGUGAAAUGCGUAGAUAUUAGGAGGAACACCAGUGGCGAAGGCGGCUUACUGGACUGUAACUGACGUUGAGGCUCGAAAGCGUGGGGAGCAAACAGGAUUAGAUACCCGAGUAGUC